UUAGCUGCCGCCACUGCCAUUGCUGCCACUGAGGUUUUCCACCAUCACCGGAGCCGCUGUGGGGACAGUUUGGAAUUGCUGCCAUUGCUUCGUCUCCAUGUUUCUCCUUUGUUAAGUUCGAGUUCCGGUUGUUGUGUGUCGCGCUUAGAGUUGCGGUUGCUGCUACGGAUAGUGGAUAAAGCUGAGAUUACGACUGUUGCUGUUGCUGGCCGAGGAAAAGAGGUUUUUGACGCAUUUUGGUUUUUCGA